rnacentral:sRNA from 1 species
AGCCAGACCAAGUAGCGAGAGCGAACGCAGGGCAUGUGAAGGAAGGAGGGCGCGACCAUCGGGCGCAGCCCGUAAACACGCGCCCCGCGACGGAGGCCGGACGCUGCUUGCAUGGCGCAGCAAUCAGCGGCUCGGCUGCGUUUCAUGGCCUGCCGUCAAGCAGCUGGCGAGCCGCAAUGCGAGCUGCGCGGGGCGCUCU